GACGAACGCUGGCGGCGUGCCUAAUACAUGCAAGUUGAGCGAUGAAGAUUGGUGCUUGCACCAAUUUGAAGAGCAGCGAACGGGUGAGUAACGCGUGGGGAAUCUGCCUUUUAGCGGGGGACAACAUUUGGAAACGAAUGCUAAUACCGCAUAACAACUUUAAACAUAAGUUUUAAGUUUGAAAGAUACAAUUGCAUCACUCAAAGAUGAUCCCGCGUUGUAUUAGCUAGUUGGUGAGGUAAAGGCUCACCAAGGCGAUGAUACAUAGCCGACCUGAGAGGGUGAUCGGCCACAUUGGGACUGAGACACGGCCCAAACUCCUACGGGAGGCAGCAGUAGGGAAUCUUCGGCAAUGGACGAAAGUCUGACCGAGCAACGCCGCGUGAGUGAAGAAGGUUUUCGGAUCGUAAAACUCUGUUGGUAGAGAAGAACGUUGGUGAGAGUGGAAAGCUCAUCAAGUGACGGUAACUACCCAGAAAGGGACGGCUAACUACGUG
rnacentral:rRNA from 1 species